rnacentral:rRNA from 1 species
GGACUACAGGGGUAUCUAAUCCUGUUUGCUCCCCACGCUUUCGCGCCUCAGCGUCAGUACCGUCCCAGCGAGCUGCCUUCGCCGUCGGUGUUCCUCCUGAUAUCUGCGCAUUCCACCGCUACACCAGGAAUUCCACUCGCCUCUUCCGGACUCGAGCUCGACAGUAUCCACCGGCUUUCAAAGGUUGAGCCUUUGACUUUUACAGCAGACUGAUCGAGCCGCCUACGCGCGCUUUACGCCCAAUGAUUCCGGACAACGCUUGCCCCCUACGUAUUACCGCGGCUGCUGGCAC